CAAAGAUCCCAUUUCCAAAUAAGGUCAUAUCCACAAGUGCCAGGGCUUAAGACUUGAACAUGUCCUAUGGGGGACACACAACAACAUAUAAUUCACAGCGAACAGAGCACAGGCUUCAGAGUGGGUCAGACCUGGGUGCUGCCAUUUAGCCUGUCCCUUCUGCUUGGCACAGUGAGGUUGGAAAGAUGUGUCAGAACUGUGACGCUGAAUCCGGAGCCCCAACCUCUCCUAGCCUCCUAGAGGAGGAUGACCCAGGACCCUUGUCCUCCCAACAGCAGGCCACCAGUUCAAGGGACAAGAAGCCCCUAAGCUCCCUCCACCUUUCACAUAGGGCCCAGGUGGCCUUGGAGUACCUGCCUUUCUUCUGCACCUAUGGGUGCCUCCUGGAAGAGGAGGGGUUGGUCCUGCAGCCCAAGACACCGCUCCAGGAGGACUCAGAACUGCUCAGUGGGUUCUUCCCUUACUACCGCUCUGAGGAGGAGAGUUUGCCCAGCCUGGCCCUUCCUGGCUGGUCACACAGGGGCUCCCAAGAUCUGCCCACUGAGAAGGAGGCACGGGCUGGCUGCUUCUGCAGGACAACAGUCAGGGACGAAUGCUCUCCUGACCCAAGCUCAGACAGAGGAAGCAGGAGCCACCUGAACAACUGAAGGGUGCAGACACCCAGAAGCUGGUUUUGUAAAUAAAUCGUGCACCUUGGCGC
rnacentral:lncRNA from 1 species